UGCACGAAUUCACAAGCCAGUUUUAGCACCAUAUUACAGGUUGAGGCCAAUUCUUGCAAUUCUGUACCUAUGCCUCGUAUGAUCUUAUUCAGCUGGAGAGAGUUUUGACCAAGUUUUAUGCAAGGAUACAUAGGAAAUAAAUAGGUUUGAUGUUUCUCCCAAGCACAAUUAUAAUCUAGUAAAUUUAAGCUGGGACAGGUACAGGUACUCUGCCAUCCCCAGAGGGAGCUGGAGAGAGUUUUGACCAAGUUUUAUGCAAGGAUACAUAGGAGAUAAAUAGGUUUGAUGUUUCUCCCAAGCACAAUUAUAAUGUAGUAAAUUUAAGCUGGGACAGGUUCAGGUACUCUGCCAUCCCCAGAGGGAGCCAAACUGUCAUAAUAAUCAACCAAAACUUUCCAGCCACCUGGGCACAUGAAUCCAUCAGGAGGAUUCUCCCCUUUCUUUGCAAGGG
rnacentral:lncRNA from 1 species